ACGACGGGCUUCAGGCUUUAGAUGCAGCUCAUCCCCUUCAGGAAGAAGACUCUCUCUGUGUCUGGAAUUAAAAGUGUUAGGAAAGACAUCUGACCAUUCAGCGGCUGACUCAGACAUGAUUGUGUGAGGUCUUCUGUUGCUUGCAACUCCUUCGAUUGAUCAUUUCGCCAGGCAACAUCACAGACGUUUAGAACUUGUGUAAGAUUCUGGUCUUGCUUGCGCCUUUUUAAACUGCGGCUGCGUCAGGUCCGGAUAUUUAAAGAGUCUCCAGCAGCGUGAAGCAGCAGCGACUUUUCUCAACAACAGGAUCCACUUCACAACUCCGAGGGACUCACCACUGAAACAGAAACCACUAAACAGACAACAUGAAUAAACGUGAAAAAUGUGUCCUGAAGAUUAAAGAGGGAAAGUACGUGAAAGUCCGGACGUUUAGAGGUGAACUGAAGCUGUGUAUUGAUGAGUCUCAAACUGCAGAAACUGUGAUUAUACAACAACGUUGCCCUGAGGGAGAUGUCGAGAUGGCCUUCGAAUUCCCCCAUUCUGAAAAGCACUGGUCUCCAAAGGUGGAGGAAAACUCCUUGAAGUUGGAGUGCUUUGAUAAGAACUCUAAUUUACCUGACAGUCAUUGGUUCAAGAGGAUAAACGAUGGGGGUGGUGACAUUUACUGUCUGAAAUCUGUGGUUUCACCUGAGCGAUACGUCUGCCUGGAAUCUGUGGUUUCAACCAAAUCAAACCGCAACAAGUCCACUCUGGGGCUCUGUCAGACCCAAAGUCAGUCUGUUCGAGUGACUCAUAGCAGGGUCAAUUAGAGCAGGCAUCCAUCACCAACUGAGCUUCACCUCCUAUUGCAUAACUCAAGAUUUCCCUGCUGGGGUCGAUGGCCUCCUCUACAUUCUUUGGACCAAACAGACUGUCUUUACUUUGGCCUUCUAGUAGGGCAAAGUGCAUUCUUGUUAAGCUGAAUUCAAGUGGAAAUUCUAAACACAAAUGCGACACAAUAACUGCUAAGUGAACUAUGUAAUGCUGAAUUAUGGAGUUACACAUUUAAACUGUUUUCAUUUUUGUGUUCAGGACUUUUUAGGUGGGAAAAAAAAAAGUCAUAGCUUCAUACUGCCCUAAUGUAACUGCUGCACAGUGGAGCCUAGCAUCAACUUUAUGUGACAUUAACUAAUGUUAGUACAUGAAAAACUGAGUAGCUGUUUCUAUGCGUCAGUAUGGCUUAGACUGGGAUUUUAUGUUUAUCCCAGAUAUCUCCAAUGAAAGUUUGUAAAGCUACCUGCUGUAAGAGGCACAUGUUGGCAUGAAUUCUCAGCUAUUUGUCAAUGUGGCUCUUCUCAAAAUCAGUCUACUUUUUAGUCAUCUCUUCAUUCAUAAGAAAUUUAAACUGAGCUGUAACAGGAAUUUAGUUUUGUAUCCACAGAAAAAGCAUUAAUGGAAUGAAGGCCUAGCCAGCUAGCUAGCAGGCUGUAGGAUGUGAUCAUGGGAGAUGAACUGUCACCCAGCACAACCACACAGUUCUCUCUCAAAUUCUGAGAGAUACCAAACAUUUCCUUUGAAUUUUGAAACCUGAUUUCAUAUCCCUGUUUUUACUAAUUCCAAUCUGGCCGUAUGGUUGAUGUGACAAACAUAGAAAACAUGUAUUUGUGCUUUACAAGGACUUUCACUUUACAGAUCAAAAAGAAAGGACAAAGCCGAUGCAGCAAAAGCACAGAUAUAAUGAAUUUUUAAGUCCACAUUGUAAUUUCUAAUGAUUUUUGCAAACAUUUUCUACUUAGAUUUUUUUUAAACCCAUCAGCUCACCACCCCAGUUUCUAGUGCAGCAUACCUGAAUUUUAACGUCUCCCUGCCUAAACUGUACUAACUCAGCUGACUUGUUUUCUCAUUAGUCAUUAGACUUUUCACAGUGCUAUUUUACAUGACCAGUAAACUCAUCUUCUAAAACCAAUUCCUUUUUAAUGUGAAAAAUGUUUCUCAAAUGGUUUUGAUAUGAGGAUAUUUAAGUGGGAAAGGGAGAGGUUUUUAUUUUUUUAUUUUUGUGGCAUGUUCGUGUGAUUACUGUAUGACGGAAGUGGAUGGAGGAUGUUUGGGAACCUUUAACACAACUAUAUUCAUCAUCCAGUCUGAUUCAGACUUUGUGGUGAAUAAAACUGGCUAAACAGUUAAAGUAGUAUCAUACGUUACCAGCACCUAGAAAAAGUGGUAAUAAAUCCAUCCAAAGUCAAGAGUAUUAACGUUUAACAUAACACUGAUUCUCUGAGGUUUCUUCCGUUUUGAAGGUUGCUGCUCACCUUGUCAUGUCUUUUUUUUCUUUUCCCGGUGCUGGGAAUACAUAUAUCUGUAUAUAUACUAACUGUAAACACAAACAUAUUUCAAUAAAGAGUGCUAUUUCCUAAA